AUUGAACGCUGGCGGCAGGCCUAACACAUGCAAGUCGAACGCGUGGCGGACGGGUGAGUCAUGUCUGGGAAACUGCCUGAUGGAGGGGGAUAACUCCUGGAAACGGUAGCUAAUACCGCAUACCAUCGGAUUUGCCCAGAUGGGAUUAGCUAGUAGGUGGGGUAAAGGCUCACCUAGGCCACGAUCCCUAGCUGGUCUGAGAGGAUGACCAGCCACACGGGAACUGAGACACGGUCCAGACUCCUACGGGAGGCAGCAGUGGGGAAUAGUGCACAAUGGGCGAAAGCCUGAUGCAGCAAUGCCGCGUGUAUGAAGAAGGCCUUCGGGUUGUAAAGUACUUUCAGCGGGGAGGCGUUACCCGCAGAAGAAGCACCGGCUAACUCCGUGCCAGCAGCCGCGGUAAUUC
rnacentral:rRNA from 1 species